rnacentral:rRNA from 1 species
AGCAGAGUGAAAUAGAACCUGAAACCAUUAGCUUACAAUCAUUCAGAGCCCUAUGGUGCAUCUCGUAAAGUUUUAACUUUACUAGUGCACCGAAAGUCAUCAAGAUUAGCGGAGUCCUUGUAAAAUCGUAAGAUUUUAUGAGGUGCACCAGGGUGAUGGACUGCCUUUUGCAUAAUGAGCCUGCGAGUUGUGGUGUCUGGCAAGGUUAAGCCAAGUGCGAAGCCGUAGCGAAAGCGAGUCUUAAUAGGGCGAAAUAGUCAGAUGCUGCAGACCCGAAACGAAGUGAUCUAUCCAUGAGCAGGUUGAAGCUGGUGUAAGAGCCAGUGGAGGACCGAACCCGCUGACGUUGAAAAGUCUUGGGAUGACUUGUGGAUAGGGGUGAAAGGCCAAUCAAACUUCGUGAUAGCUGGUUCUCUCCGAAAUAUAUUUAGGUAUAGCCUUGUGUUGUAGCAUAUAGGGGUAGAGCACUGAAUGGGCUAGGGCUGCUUACCGCGGUACCAAACCCUAUCAAACUAUGAAUACUAUAUGUGGAAUCACAGGAGUCAGGCGGUGGGUGAUAAAAUCCGUCGUCAAGAGGGGAACAACCCAGACUAACAGCUAAGGUCCCUAAGUUACAUCUAAGUGGAAAACGAUGUGGAGUUACUGUGACAACCAGGAGGUUGGCUUAGAAGCAGCCAUCCUUUAAAGAAAGCGUAACAGCUCACUGGUCUAGUGAUUCUGCGCGGAAAAUAUAACGGGGCUAAGAUGUACACCGAAGCUUUAGAUUCAAUUUUUAAUUGAGUGGUAGGAGAGCGUUCUAUUCAGCGUUGAAGGUAUACCGGUAAGGAGUGCUGGAGCGGAUAGAAGUGAGCAUGCAGGCAUGAGUAGCGAUAAUUAAGGUGAGAAUCCUUAACGCCGAAAACCCAAGGUUUCCUACGCGAUGCUCGUCAUCGUAGGGUUAGUCGGGUCCUAAGUCGAGACUGAAAAGUGUAGACGAUGGCAAAUUGGUUAAUAUUCCAAUACCAACAUAUAAGCGCGAUGUGGGGACGCAUAGAGUUAGUCGAGCUCACUGAUGGAAUAGUGGGUCGAAGGACGUAGGCUGUUACUUAGGCAAAUCCGGGUAACGUUAGGCCGAGAUCUUACAGGCUCUUGACACUCUUCGGAGGAGAUGGAGAAUCGAUGAUACUGUCGUGCCAAGAAAAGCCACUAAGUUUAUUAUAUGUUGCCCGUACCGUAAACCGACACAGGUGGGUGGGAUGAGUAUUCUAAGGCGCGUGGAAGAACCCUGGUUAAGGAACUCUGCAAACUAGCACCGUAUCUUCGGUAUAAGGUGUGCCUACUUUGGUAUAUGGACUUGCUCCAAAAAGCUAAAGAGGUUGCAACAAAGAGUCCCUCCCGACUGUUUACCAAAAACACAGCACUUUGCUAACACGUAAGUGGAUGUAUAAGGUGUGACGCCUGCCCGGUGCUCGAAGGUUAAUUGAUGAUGUCAGCGCAAGCGAAGCAUUUGAUCGAAGCCCGAGUAAACGGCGGCCGUAACUAUAACGGUCCUAAGGUAGCGAAAUUCCUUGUCAGUUAAAUACUGACCUGCAUGAAUGGCGUAACGAGAUGGGAGCUGUCUCAAAGAGGGAUCCAGUGAAAUUGUAGUGGAGGUGAAAAUUCCUCCUACCCGCGGAAAGACGGAAAGACCCCGUGCACCUUUACUACAGCUUGACACUGUAGCUUGGAUAUUCAUGUGCAGGAUAGGUGGGAGGCUAUGAUGACUAGACGCAAGUAGAGUCGGAGCCAUCCUUGAGAUACCACCCUUGAAUAUUUGAGUUACUAACUGCGAUGAGUUAUCCUCAUUCAGGACAAUGUCUGGUGGGUAGUUUGACUGGGGCGGUCGCCUCCUAAAUAGUAACGGAGGCUUACAAAGGUUAGUUCAAAGCGGAUGGAAAUCGCUUGUUGAGUAUAAUGGCAUAAACUAGCUUGACUGUGAGACCUACAAGUCGAACAGAGACGAAAGUCGGUCAUAGUGAUCCGGUGGUUCUGCGUGGAAGGGCCAUCGCUCAAAGGAUAAAAGGUACGCCGGGGAUAACAGGCUGAUCUCCCCCAAGAGCUCACAUCGACGGGGAGGUUUGGCACCUCGAUGUCGGCUCAUCGCAUCCUGGGGCUGGAGCAGGUCCCAAGGGUAUGGCUGUUCGCCAUUUAAAGC